rnacentral:rRNA from 1 species
UAGGGAAUCUUCCACAAUGGGCGAAAGCCUGAUGGAGCAACGCCGCGUGAGUGAAGAAGGAUUUCGGUUCGUAAAACUCUGUUGUAAGGGAAGAACAAGUACAGUAGUAACUGGCUGUACCUUGACGGUACCUUAUUAGAAAGCCACGGCUAACUACGUGCCAGCAGCCGCGGUAAUACGUAGGUGGCAAGCGUUGUCCGGAAUUAUUGGGCGUAAAGCGCGCGCAGGCGGUCCUUUAAGUCUGAUGUGAAAGCCCACGGCUCAACCGUGGAGGGUCAUUGGAAACUGGGGGACUUGAGUGCAGAAGAGGAAAGUGGAAUUCCAAGUGUAGCGGUGAAAUGCGUAGAGAUUUGGAGGAACACCAGUGGCGAAGGCGACUUUCUGGUCUGUAACUGACGCUGAGGCGCGAAAGCGUGGGGAGCAAACAGGAUUAGAUACCCUGGUAGUCCACGCCGUAAACGAUGAGUGCUAAGUGUUAGGGGGUUUCCGCCCGUUAGUGCUGCAGCUAACGCUAA